UACGUAGGGGGCAAGCGUUGUCCGGAUUUAUUGGGCGUAAAGAGCGUGUAGGCGGCCAGACAGGUCCGUUGUGAAAACUCGAGGCUCAACCUCGAGACGCCGAUGGAAACCGUCUGGCUAGAGUCCGGAAGAGGAGAGUGGAAUUCCUGGUGUAGCGGUGAAAUGCGCAGAUAUCAGGAAGAACACCCGUGGCUAAGGCGGCUCUCUAGUACGGUACUGACGCUGAGGCGCGAAAGCAUGGGUAGCAAACAGG
rnacentral:rRNA from 1 species